CUACACGACCGUACCGCAAACCGACACUGGUGCGCGAGAUGAGUAUUCUAAGGCGCUUGAGAGAACUCAGGAGAAGGAACUCGGCAAAUUGACACCGUAACUUCGGAAGAAGGUGUGCCUUUAGUAGGUGAACCUGUACAAGGGGAGCCCAAUGAGGUUGCAAAAAAUCGGUGGCUGCGACUGUUUAAUAAAAACACAGCACUCUGCAAACACGAAAGUGGACGUAUAGGGUGUGACGCCUGCCCGGUGCUGGAAGAUUAAAUGAUGGGGUGCAAGCUCUUGAUUGAAGUCCCAGUAAACGGCGGCCGUAACUAUAACGGUCCUAAGGUAGCGAAAUUCCUUGUCGGGUAAGUUCCGACCUGCACGAAUGGCGUAACGAUGGCCACACUGUCUCCUCCUGAGACUCAGCGAAGUUGAAAUGUUUGUGAUGAUGCAAUCUCCCCGCGGAAAGACGGAAAGACCCCAUGAACCUUUACUGUAGCUUUGUAUUGGACUUUGAACAGAUCUGUGUAGGAUAGGUGGGAGGCUUUGAAGUGUGGUCGCUAGAUCGCAUGGAGCCAACGUUGAAAUACCACCCUGGUGUGUUUGAGGUUCUAACCUAGGCCCGUAAUCCGGGUCGGGGACAGUGCAUGGUAGGCAGUUUGACUGGGGCGGUCUCCUCCCAAAGCGUAACGGAGGAGUUCGAAGGUACGCUAGGUACGGUCGGACAUCGUGCUAAUAGUGCAAUGGCAUAAGCGUGCUUAACUGCGAGACUGACAAGUCGAGCAGAUGCGAAAGCAGGACAUAGUGAUCCGGUGGUUCUGUAUGGAAGGGCCAUCGCUCAACGGAUAAAAGGUACUCUGGGGAUAACAGGCUGAUACCGCCCAAGAGUUCAUAUCGACGGCGGUGUUUGGCACCUCGAUGUCGGCUCAUCUCAUCCUGGGGCUGUAGCCGGUCCCAAGGGUAUGGCUGUUCGCCAUUUAAAGAGGUACGUGAGCUGGGUUUAAAACGUCGUGAGACAGUUUGGUCCCUAUCUUCCGUGGGCGCUGCAGAUUUGAGGAAGCCUGCUCCUAGUACGAGAGGACCGGAGUGGACACACCUCUGGUGUAUCGGUUGUCACGCCAGUGGCAUUGCCGAGUAGCUAUGUGUGGAAGAGAUAACCGCUGAAAGCAUCUAAGCGGGAAACUCGUUUCAAGAUGAGAUCUGCCGGGGCCUUGAGCCCCCUAAAGAGUCGUUCAAGACCAGGACGUUGAUGGGUCGGGUGUGGAAGCGCAGUAAUGCGUUAAGCUAACCGAUACUAAUUGCUCGUGCGGCUUGACCCU
rnacentral:rRNA from 1 species